ensembl:lncRNA
CGAAGGACUCUGAGCCCGAGGAGGAGUCUGACUCGAGGGGCAGACACCGAGGCAGAAAGAGGCAGUCGACGAGGGAAGACUCGAAACAGAGGCACAAACGGCUCAAACUGAAACCAGCAAGAAGUACGAGCGAGGAAGAGGAGGAAUCGGACGAGGAAGGAGACGCCGGUGUGUCCGACGCGGAAAGGAGACCAGUCCGUAAAAACCUGAACCGUAUCGAAUCGGAUGAGGAAGAAGAGGACGGGGCGGAGAAAAGACCAAUGAGAAAGAUGGCCGGAAAGCAGGCCAGCAGAGUUACAGACUGCAGGGAGAUGAGUGUGAAGGCACACACUAGAGGCUCGAAGGACUCGAUGCUGAAGCACAACGGCCUGCUCCCUCCAAGAUCUUCAGCUCAGGAUGAAGAUGAUGACGAUGAGGAGGAGGAAGAGGAGGAUGAGGAGGAUGACCUCACCGCCACUACAGACUUUGUUAACUUUGUUUUUGACAGCGAACAGUUAUCGUGAUGUGCUGAAGAAAUUUCAUAUAUUAUUUUCUCAUUGCCUUUUUUUUUUUUUUUUAAGGUUUGUUUGUUUGUUUGUUUGUUUGUUUUUUUGAGUGUACUGGACCAAUCCAAGCUUCCAGAGGAAUUUUCACACGAUGUCUAAACAUACUUUAGUUACAUACAUCAUGCACAUGUCAGAUGUAGAGCAGGGUCUCGGUGCACAUCCUGAUUUUUUUAUGAGUGAAAGGUGCGAAAUUUGAAAGUUAGAUUUGAUCAGCUAGUCGCAAACUUGAUCAUAUGACUAGUUUCUCUAAGGUUAGCUGCCCUUUUAGUGGACUUGGCUCAUGGUUUUAAUUCCACAGUGUAUUCCACAAUUUUAAUUCCACAAGAGACUGGAAUGAAUGGGAAUCAUGGGCGAUUGUUUCCAGAGCUGAAAACAUAUGUAAAAAUGCAUAUUCUAAACUUAUAUCGACUGAAGACACUACGGUUCUAUUUCACAUUUUAUAUUUCCCUUUUAAAAGAAGCUUCAAAAAUCAGAAUGAAAACUGUAUAUAGUCUUGAUCUGGUCUGGAUUUUUUUCUUGAGGAAAGGGCAAGUACUCUGACGUGGUCUUUCAUGCCAAGUCAGUCCUCUAGUGAUGGUAAUUAUGGCUGGGGUUUUUUAGCGAGAUGGGUCUUUUAGUUCAGCUCACCAAUAAGGGUCAAAUCUUUUGGUUCCCAAACAGCUGAUUGUCG